rnacentral:rRNA from 1 species
UACGUAGGGUGCAAGCGUUAAUCGGAAUUACUGGGCGUAAAGCGUGCGCAGGCGGUUAUGUAAGACAGUUGUGAAAUCCCCGGGCUCAACCUGGGAACUGCAUCUGUGACUGCAUAGCUAGAGUACGGUAGAGGGGGAUGGAAUUCCGCGUGUAGCAGUGAAAUGCGUAGAUAUGCGGAGGAACACCGAUGGCGUAGGCAAUCCCCUGGACCUGUACUGACGCUCAUGCACGAAAGCGUGGGGAGCAAACAGG